rnacentral:lncRNA from 1 species
UUUUUUUUUUUUUUUUUAAGAGCGUGUGAAGUUAAACUUUACAUUGUCUUCAGAUAAUUUUACAAUCUUUGAGUAAAACGAAACCCACUGGACUCCUCCACCUGUAUUUUAAGUGCAUAACAGAGAUAAGAAAAAAAAAAAAAAACCAACAACAAAUGUCUCAAACCACUCACAGAAGAUUAUAGAUUUCCUCCCUUGUUCAGAGGGGAUUAAAGAAAAUAAAUUGACCAAAAUGAACUGCGCUACUCUGUUACAGGGCACUGGAUCCGUUUUCAAAAAGAGCUGCAGGACAUAAAAAGGAUGAAAGAAUUACUGUUCUUGUAAUUUCUUGUGCAAUGGCUAGUAAAAUGUGUGUGGGUUAGGGUGAGACUCAUCUUUCCUCCCCCCUACUCUUAAAUGGCUCUUGCUUUUUAGGGCAACUCUUUAAACAAUAAACAGUACAAUCAGACUGCUUUCCAUUGAGGUUUGGCAAGCACAAUGGAUACUAGCAAACAGGCUUAAAUUCUCUGUUGUGACAUUUUUAAGAAUGUGAAAAGAUUACAAUUUAUGUGUGGAUGUUGUGGAGAAGAGAAGUCAAAGUUUCAAAGUCAGAAUAAAUUAUAUUUCCUAGACACUUGAGAAUUUCCAUGGAAACCAAGACAUCUGAGAUAUUAAAAGACUAUAUUUGGAAAAAAAAUAACGUGUGGAAUUUCCCUUCAUACUUUCUCAAGUUGUCAUCCUUCUAGCCCUUUCUGUUGUAAUAGCUAGCUUCCACGUUCUAUCAUGGAGCAUUUUCAGCUGUCCAUGUGACAUUGUCUAGAUGUGUGUUUUCAAGUGGACCGCUAAAUGCACAUUUACACAGUAAAACCCUAUGUUCCAAAUAUUUCUGAGAUUCAUUUAACAAUCACUAACUAAACAUUUACUAUGCAAAAGUACUAUGCAAAGAGUUAAAUUCCAAUAUUGCUUCUCUUAAAAGGUAUAUUAAUGGGAAAGUCAGAAAAAAUGACUUUGGGUUUUUCAAAUAUACACCUCAUAUAUAUAUAUAUAUAUAUAUAUGCAUAUAUAUGUAUGUAUGUAUAUACUCACACACACAUACAUACACACACACACAUAGCUUUUUCCCCAUGGUAACUUUGGUGUUGAAAUUUUUUUCAUGGAUUGAAUUCAAAAGGUAUUAUUGGAAUAGAAGAUAGAUAUCAUGUCUACAAAAGACAUAGUGAACAGUGGGUAUAGAAAUGCUUUUUCAGCUGUCUCUCUGUAUUUUUCUCUUUCCUGUCUUUCCUUGAAUUGGAUUCAGGAACUUUUAGGUAAAUGGACUCUUAUUUUCAGUUCUUUUCCACACAGCACUUGUGAGUGACAUGCAAAACUGCCUUCACGGAUAGGUCUAAAAAAAAAAAAAAAAGGACUAAUUUCCCAUUGAUCUUUGGUUAUUCCUGACUAGACCUACUGAGAAAUCUAUUUGCUCUAUUCUAUUUCCAGAAAAUACAAAUAUAGAUAGCAUUUCAUGUUUCCUUGAAAACAUUGUAACAUUGUCCUGUGAGUUCACUCUUUGUGGGUGAUCUUGAUUCAUUGUUCUAGAUUUCGAUCAAUUCAAACAAAUCUAUGUACAUGAGAUUUUCCUGGAAAUGCCAGUUGAGGCUCAGUACUUACAGUCCAAAGCUAUGUCCAGUUACAUGCAAGGCGUGCAAACUUAGGAAUGAAGCUCCAAAGUCCACAAAUACAGGGCAGCCAUGGAUUAGCAGGAGGAGGAAGGUAAAGUCUUUGGAGAACGGAGUGCUGUCUCCUGAUAGAUUAGCCAUGACUUAGUGUACCUGCUUCUCAUCUCAAACACAGGCAAGUGAGUUGUUCUUUACUUUUUCUCUCUAAACAAAUACAAACGCUCUUUACACAUCCUCCAAACAGGUUUCCCCUUCCUAGGCUUCCUGAGACGCAUUAGUACUCCGGAAUACUUUCCUUGCACUGCUAUCCUGUAAAACAUUAAGCACGUUAACGGGAAAAUGUCGCAGUAACUUGGGAUAACUGUAAUAUUUCUGUCAUAGCAAUAUUAUUUACUGUGCUGAAAACGACUCAAGCAUUGCUCAAAUAAUGUGCCCUUUGGGGAUCUGGGUAAAUGAGAGUUUCUCAGCCAUCGUGAUACAACAUCUUGGGAUGCCUUCAGUUAAAUGGGAAUCCUGGAAGAGCCACAUAAUCUAGGUCCUCUAGUAGGUGCCUCACACCACCUCUAGAGUCAACAGUUAGAAAGGAAAGACUCAGAAAGAUUUGGAGUUGCCAAUUCCAAUAAGAUAAAACUUGGAGGGCAUGGUGGCACAUGCCGCGCCCUUCAUCCUAGUGCUUGGGAGGCAGAGGCAGGCAGAUCUCUGCAUUCCAGACCAACUUGGUCUACAGAGGGAGUUCCAGGACAGCUAAGGCCACACAGAGAAACCCCAUCUUC